AGAAGAAGAAGAAGAAGAAGAAGAAGAAGAAGAAGAAGAAGAAGGCCGAAAACCAGAAACCAGAGGCUAUAUAUGCCAGAGACCCAGAAUAGAACCAUACAGAACCAGCCAGCAAUAUUAAAAAGUCUAUGAAAUGUCACUAAUGAUACUCUGCUAUGCUGGUAGACAGGAGACAGAUGUAGAAACCCACAGCCAAAUAUUAGUUGUUAUUCAGGGAAUCCUGCUAAAGAGUAGAGAAGGGAUUGUAGAAACCAGAGGGGUCAAGGACAUGAAAAAAACACACAAAAUCAUCUCCCCUAGGCUCAAAGAAGUGCGAGAGAUGGAAGCAGCAAUCAGGGAGCCUGUAUGGGUCUGACCUAGGUCGGCUAUGUGUUAUGUUAUUGUUGUGUAGCUUGGUCUUUUUGGGGGUUCUGUCUCAGAGGGCAUUGGAAUUAUACAUCAAAGUUUUUACCUGCUGAUCUUAUCAGCACAUAACAUGUCAUUUUAUGUUAUGAGUUAUUGGACAAUAUUUACAUCAUUUUUGUUCCUUGUAUUAUUAGCCCUGCCAAAUAUUUGUGUAUUUUAGACUAUCCUGGAUGACUAUACUUCAUGUUGUUUAGACAAAAUUUGAAGUUGAAUGAGAAGCAAUGAAGCAAGAGACACCAAAUAUUCUGAAUGGUCUAUUUAGUAUGUACAUUAAGGAGUACAUUCCCAAUAGUGUAUAUAUUAUACUAUGGUACAGAACCAAUGCAUUGACAAUAUGCAAUAAAUUAUACCAAGGUUUACAUUGCUGAAUUUAAGGUCUUUCUCAUUGAUGGUCCUUUGUACCACAAUAAUUUACCAAAAUUUAAUUGUGUGUUCUCUUCACUAUUCAAGAAAAACUUCAUAAUUUCAUUUUUUCUCCUUGCCUCAACAAAUAUAAAAGUUACAUAGGUAGAUGUGCUUCUAAUUAUCACUUUCCUAAAGGAAACCAGAAACAUUAUUAAUUGCAAUAAUAACUGUGAAGUUCCACCAGAUGUUGCAGAAGAUUAAAUUAUUUAGUCAUUAUUUAAUGAUCCAGUAUUAGUAAUAAGUUAAGGGGAAGCAACUAUUUAAGAAGAAAUUUAUCCUUUAUAGAUCUUGUGUAGAAACACUGACCAAAACAAAAUUAUGGGAUCAUGAAACCCUAGUAAAAAUGUCAACUUGAUUGCUUCAAUGCUUUAUCAUUGCCUAGUCAUUAUCCCAGGAUAACUUUUCACAUCGAAGAGAAUAAAUUAUGACAUCAUUAUCUGCAAUAUAAAGACUCUCACAGAGCUAGAUCCUGGGGCACUGUAGUCUUAACUUGUAUUCAUAAAAAAUGGACCUGUCAAAACAUCUCAGGAUUAGUGGGGACAGAUAUUUUAAGAAGGUCAGGUGGAGGGAUCAGUUUAUUAUUUACAGUAUAGAAUAGAUUUCAAAGGAAAAAAUAUAAUAUUAGACUCAAUAGUUAUCGGUGCAUCCAUUAUCUUUUGAGAAAAUUAAUUAAUUUUUAAAGUGAAGAACCUCACUCUGGUUAAGCAUAUUUAAAUUUUAGCAUCGUUACACCAGUAGAAAACAGAAAAAAUCUAAAUCUCCAAAUUUGUAGCACAUGAAAAAUAAAAUCUAUAUUUUUAUUUUCUAAUGAUUUUAUCCAUUAUAAGAUGUUAUUUGUUAAGCUAUAUUAUAAAUGCUGAUUGAUAGAUAUAAUGUUCAAGUCAGUGAUUUUUCACAAGUAUUAUAGAUUAAAUGAUAAUCAAUAUAAUUUAAAUAAUUCUUUUCCAAAGAUAAGAUGAGAGCAAGCAAGAUAAUUUUGUCUUCCAUUACAGAAAAAUGAUGGUAAAUGAACUAAAAAUUGAGGCACAUGUUGCAACUGGAUGAGUAGGGAAUUCUGACAUAAUUUCUAUUAGGGAUUCAAGAACUAGAAUUGACAACAAAAUAUUAUGUUUUUAAUAUUCACUUUUGUUAGUAUGUUUAUUGGACACUAUAUAUAUAUAUAUAUAUAUAUAUCCAUAAAUAUGCAAAAUAAAAUAUCUGGAAUGUCAAUAACAAGAAGAAAGGAACCUUUGCUUUGUUAGGUAUGAACUGAGAUGAUGGAGAGAAUUAGAUAUGUGAAUCAUAUACCUGGAGUACUUUCUUUUCCUACAGGCUGGGUCUUCCCCCAUCAAUCACCAAUUAAGAAAAUGCCCUACAGACAGAUCUUAUCAAGGCAUUUUUCUCAAUUGAGAUCCUCUCCUUUCAGAUAACCUUGGCUUCUGUCAAGUUAACAGAAAACUAGAGAGCACAAUGUUCUCUUACAUAAAUAUUUUUUCUGUUCCCUAACCAGAUAUUUUACUCAUAUGUUCCCAAACACAAAUAUAUUGUCUCUCUGUUAUCCUUUCUAGAAAACAAAAGAAGAACGGAUGGGGAGAGAAGAGGAAGGGAUGGGGAGAGAAGAGAAAGGGAGGAAGAAUUUAAUGAUGUAUACCCAGAAUCUUUAGUUGGUCCAUAGCCACAAAUAUAGUUGGUGUAUACAUAGUUAUUUCUAUUGGUUCUUUAUAUAUUUCUAGUUUGUGGAUCCUCAUUUUUUAUUUUAUUGAAUUUAACAUUUCUUGGUUUAUUGUGCUAGGCAUAAUUCAAGGCCUCAAGGCUGUGCACAUAGUUUAUAUGUAUACAUGAGUAUACAUGAGUAUACAUAUUCAUUUACAUGAAAUAUACUUCAAGUUUGAAUUUAGUAUGCUGGACUAGCUCAAUUAGUCAAAUGCCUCUUUCAAAAAAAACCUUUCCCAAGUUACCAACACACAUUCACUUUUCUUCUUAAGGCUGUCAUGGCAACAAGUGUGCAUUCAACUCGUGUUUUCUGCUCUAAAAACUCAUUCACACAGUAUGAAUAAUCAAGAUUAAUUUUCGUCAGUGUCCAUGAAAGAGGAAUGCUCAGAAUAGAAACAAAAUUCUAUAAUAACCAACAGAAUGUGCUUACAUCUUCCCCUAAAUUAAGCCUUUCAAAUGGAUCUUCAUUUUUUUAAAUAACAUGUUCACUGUAUUAACAAUGCAUUUUCUGCAUAGAGAGCAAGAAACAUUUUAGCACUUUAGAUUCUUCUACUAUUUAUUGCCAAGUUCCUAAUUUUUAUGCUUGAACUAUGUACUUUGAUAUAUUAAUUUUAGACACAUUGAACUUUUGUUCCUUUAUAAUAUGUUUUAUGUUCUUCAUUCUUCCUAAUAUGUUCAUAUCAAUAAAGCUAGCUGAAAGAAAUAUGAUUAUGUGAAUAUUGUUAUGAUUAACAGAACAUAUACACUGCUCAAUUUUUCAUAGAAUUUGCAUUCUAUUGGAGAUAGCAAUUGUUCAGUUUUACUUGUGUAUUUUACAGCAUUUUUAUUUCUUUUUAAUUUUAUAUAAAUACAUUUAUCUGUUCUUAUUAGAAAAAAUAAAUAUAUUAGUUUAGAAAUCUCCUCUUUUUAUUUUUAUUUCAUAAUACCUGUUACAGACUAAUACAUUUUCAUAGUCCUAAGAAAAACAAAUGGUUUCUGGGUGAAUACAAUAUUGUUACACUAGAAAACUUGCCUCAACUACCUGGGUGAAUCCAUUAUAUCAUUGAUUUUACCUGCCUUUGAUGUCUGUUUUUUUUUUUUUCCACUCUUCUAUGUCAACUAGCAGUAGGCAGAACCUGAAGAAACUACAUAUUUUGAGUCAUAUCAAACUAUUAUAUCUUUAACUAUUGAUCACAAAUUCUUUGGGUUUAAGAUUUAAUACUUAAACUUCAUUUUUCUUCAGAACUUGGGAAUGAUUCUACAUAUGUUUGACCAUUGGCUACUGCCAUUGUCUUUGGUUUUUUGUUUGUUUGUUUUCACUAACAGAGGUAUGUCUGUGUUUCUAUCAGUCUGAUUCCACAUGGCAAGGGUGCCUGCUUCCAUGUUGAUGACCUGUGCUCAAUCCCCAUGACCCAUGUACUGGAAGGGGAGAGAACUGACUCCUAUCUGUAAAACAAUCCAAUAGAAGAUACUAUAAGAGUGGUAUAAUAAACUGCGAGAGCAUGCAAUAGUCUAUGGUGAUCACUACAAAAACUGCAUGAACUACAGAUCUACAACUAGUGAGGAGACUACCAGGAGAGGCAAGACCAUCCAGAGUUGCAGACAUUGAAUUCCUGGCCCCCACACACCACUGGGUCACAAGAGGAGAUAGACCCCACCUGUACACACUAGAAGAAAAUAUGGGAAAAAGACAGAAUAAGAUUUCACUCAACAACAGAAAGACCAAUAUGACACCACCAGAAUCUAGGGACUCCACUCCAGCAAGAUCUGAAA